CCGCAUGGUUCAAAAGUGAAAGACGGUCUUGCUGUCACUUAUAGAUGGAUCCGCGCUGCAUUAGCUAGUUGGUAAGGUAACGGCUUACCAAGGCAACGAUGCAUAGCCGACCUGAGAGGGUGAUCGGCCACACUGGAACUGAGACACGGUCCAGACUCCUACGGGAGGCAGCAGUAGGGAAUCUUCCGCAAUGGGCGAAAGCCUGACGGAGCAACGCCGCGUGAGUGAUGAAGGGCUUCGGAUCGUAAAACUCUGUUAUUAGGGAAGAACAUAUGUGUAAGUAACUGUGCACAUCUUGACGGUACCUAAUCAGAAAGCCACGGCUAACUACGUGCCAGCAGCCGCGGUAAUACGUAGGUGGCAAGCGUUAUCCGGAAUUAUUGGGCGUAAAGCGCGCGUAGGCGGUUUUUUAAGUCUGAUGUGAAAGCCCACGGCUCAACCGUGGAGGGUCAUUGGAAACUGGAAAACUUGAGUGCAGAAGAGGAAAGUGGAAUUCCAUGUGUAGCGGUGAAAUGCGCAGAGAUAUGGAGGAACACCAGUGGCGAAGGCGACUUUCUGGUCUGUAACUGACGCUGAUGUGCGAAAGCGUGGGGAUCAAACAGGAUUAGAUACCCUGGUAGUCCACGCCGUAAACGAUGAGUGCUAAGUGUUAGGGGGUUUCCGCCCCUUAGUGCUGCAGCUAACGCAUUAAGCACUCCGCCUGGGGAGUACGACCGCAAGGUU
rnacentral:rRNA from 1 species